rnacentral:rRNA from 1 species
AGAGUUUGAUCCUGGCUCAGGACUAACGCUGGCGGCGUGCCUAACACAUGCAAGUCGAACGAAGUAGCAAUACUUAGUGGCAAACGGGUGAGUAACACGUAGUCAACCUACCUUUAAGUGGGGGAUAACUAGCCGAAAGGUUAGCUAAUACCGCAUGUGAUCUCCGAGAGGCAUCUCUUGGCGAUCAAAGCAGCAAUGCG